AGUGCCUUGCAGGAGGCAAGUAGUUCCUGU
rnacentral:piRNA from 1 species